GUAGCGUGAAGGAUGACUGCCCUAUGGGUUGUAAACUUCUUUUAUAUGGGAAUAAAGUGAGCCACGUGUAGCUUUUUGUAUGUACCAUACGAAUAAGGAUCGGCUAACUCCGUGCCAGCAGCCGCGGUAAUACGGAGGAUCCAAGCGUUAUCCGGAUUUGUUGGGUUUAAAGGGAGCGUAGAUGGAUGUUUAAGUCAGUUGUGAAAGUUUGCGGCUCAACCGUAAAAUUGCAGUUGAUACUGGAUGUCUUGAGUGCAGUUGAGGCAGGCGGAAUUCGUGGUGUAGCGGUGAAAUGCUUAGAUAUCACGAAGAACUCCGAUUGCGAAGGCAGCCUGCUAAGCUGCAACUGACAUUGAGGCUCGAAAGUGUGGGUAUCAAACAGGAUUAGAUACCCUGGUAGUCCACACGGUAAACGAUGAAUACUCGCUGUUUGCGAUAUACGGCAAGCGGCCAAGCGAAAGCGUUAAGUAUUCCACCUGGGGAGUACG
rnacentral:rRNA from 1 species